rnacentral:rRNA from 1 species
GACGAACGCUGGCGGCGUGCUUAACACAUGCAAGUCGAACGGAAAGGCCCUGCUUUUGUGGGGUGCUCGAGUGGCGAACGGGUAAGUAACACGUGAGUAACCUGCCCUUGACUUUGGGAUAACUUCAGGAAACUGGGGCUAAUACCGGAUAGGAGCUCCUGCUGCAUGGUGGGGGUUGGAAAGUUUCGGCGGUUGGGGAUGGAUUCGCGGCUUAUCAGCUUGUUGGUGGGGUAGUGGCUUACCAAGGCUUUGACGGGUAGCCGGCCUGAGAGGGUGACCGGCCACAAUGGGCCUGAGAGACGGACCAGACUCCUACGGGCGGCAGCAGUGGGGAAUAUUGCACAAUGGGCGGAAGCCUGAUGCAGCAAUGCCCCGUGCGGGAUGAUGGCUUUCGGGGUGUAAACCGCUGUCUCAUGAGACGAAGCGGGAGUGACGGUAACGGGUAAAGAAGCACCGGCUAACUACGUG